UUGUCCCGCCGAUACAAACAAUUUAUGAACUUGCGCAAGCAUGUUUGAAAGACUUCCUUAUUUCCAGGAACCAACUUUUCAGUUUCAUUUGAUUGAAAAAUGGCCGUCAUGAAAGGAGGAUUCGUAACAAUCCUGCUUGUGUUAUCUUUCAGGAUUGUUUUAUCAGAUGAAAAGGUGCGUAAUGGUCAUAUCAUAACAGUUUCUACGAAUGGUAAGGAUUCCCGCUCGUGUCUUUUACACAGAUUGACGCCUUGCCGAACGGUGGCGUACGUCCUGCAAUCCGACCACCUCAAUUAUACGUCCGUACAAGUUAAGGAAGGAACAUAUAACAUCAAUAACACUAUCAUCGUUGCUAACGUGAAAAAUCUAACUAUUUCUGGAGAGAACAUGAGUGUCGAGAAAACAAAAUUCAGUUGCAGAAGAUUAAACGGUACUGGUCUUGUCUUUCACAACUGCCAAGCGAUCAAUUUGCUGAACUUUUCUCUUGAUAACUGUGGUUUUGAAUUUAAUUCCUCAAGUUUUGUGAAAGGAGAAACAGCUUUUGCGUACACGUCGUUGCUGGUGAAAAACAGUGCGAAUUUCUCUCUUGAAAGCGUUAACAUAACAAAUUCUUCUGGUAUAGGUGCCGUGUUUUACGAUGUGGUUGGUAAUGUCACAUUUAAUUUCCUUAAUGUUGAAAACUGUAUAGGAAGAGAAGAAACAGUCGAUCCGGGAUGGAAGAGAAGAACGACAUUUUAUACAGGUGGUGGAAUUUACAUUGAGUUUCGACCAAAAAGUGUUAAGCAGCCCAGCAAAUACAUAUUUAAGCAUUGCAAUUUCACUGGAAAUUUGGCUGCUGAUUUUAAAAAUGAUGUUAUAUCCCAGUCAACAAAGAACGAUUAUUUUUCGCUAGGAAGAGGAGGAGGAAUUUCCUUUAUAUCUAGGGGCUACGCGCAAUUAAAUAAAAUCCUUAUUGACUCAUGCUUGUUUUCCAGAAAUCGUGCUUUGUGGGGAGCAGGGAUGUUUAUAGAAAUGAAUGAUGAAAGCAAAAAUAACAGUGUUAAAAUUAACAAUUCUAUUUUCAAUGAAAACCAUGCUUCUUUUAGUGGAGGUGGUAUACGAAUAGGAAUAAACUCUAUAUCUGGCUACAAUAAAAUAGAGAUGGAAGUUGUCAAGUUUUAUAAUAAUACUGCCAAGUUUGGAGGAGGGUUCAGCCAAUACAGAGUGAGCAGCAAAGGAAGAGAUGAGGAUAAUGUGUUUUUGAAGAACUGCGCCUUCGAAAAUAAUUCAGCUCUUGCUGCAUCUGACAUCUACUUCCAACACUUAAAUAUUACCUUGAACAAUGUAAAUGUCAGUGGAAAUUCAAAGAGCAAGCAUGAGCAUCAUAAACCACAAGGGUCCCUGUAUUGUUAUUCAAGCCACAUUUUACUGAAAGGGACCUGUCAUGUCAGCAGUGCUGUUAAUACUGGCUACCUUCUAGACUAUUGUCUGCUGACUAUACGUGGUACUGCUAUUUUCACCAGAAACAUGGGGGAAAAUGGUGGGGCCUUGGCUUUAUAUGGACAUUCUAAAAUAAGGUUAACAAGUGGUUCAAGCCUUCUUCUUCACCACAACAAGGCUUCAAGUAAAGGUGGAGCAAUGUAUGUUGAGGCACCUGUCCCAUUGACAGAGAGUUUCAAUUCAACACAGCUUAACAUUUACAAAUGUUUUUUCCUGUUUGGUGAUGAAGAUGAUGAUUUUAAACAUGCUGACCAGAUCAACACAACAAUUGAUUUUUUAGGAAACAAAGCACCACCAAGAGGUGGUGAUAACAUUUGGGCUACCACUAUCAAAUGGUGCCGUGGUGAUGAUGAACCAGGAUACAAUAACACAGCACUUAAGUGGAAGAUAAUAAAAUCAAAUGGAACAUCAAUUUCAACAAACCAUACAGUUGUUACAAGCCCACAGUUUAUUAUGGUAAAGCCAGAAGAGUGGAAUGCAUACCCAGGCCUGCCAUUGAAUGCAACUGUGUUAUUUCGUGAUGAAAAUUGGAAUCAAGUUAAUGGAACAGUGCGUGUAAUAUUGGCUGAUAAUUCAGUCGCAAAGUUGAAGAUUUCUGAUUAUUUCUCUGAGAAUGGUUUUGUAAAAAUGAUCAUCCAUGGUAUGCCAAAAUCAAGUUAUAGCAUAGAGAUUAAAACUAUAGACAGGUACUCAGUGUCAAAAAAGAUUUCUCAAAGACAAUUACUUGAUUGCCCUCCUGGAUACAGCCAUAACAAGAAAUUUAGAAUCUGUGAUUGCCAAACAAUCAACAAAGGUGUUACCAAUUGUGAUUAUCAAAAUAAUAAGGUAUACAUUAUUCCCUCAAGGUGGGGAAAUGUUAACAGUAGAAAAGAAUUUGCAGAACUGGUCUGUCCGAAACAUUAUUGCAGCCAAUGUAAUCCUACUGGCAUUGGAUGCCCAUUCAACGAGAAGUCACAAUGUGACACUUCUCGUGAUCCAACAUCUAUUCUUUGUAGCAAAUGCAAAGAGGGUUACAGUGUACUUUUGGGAUCUGAAAAGUGUGAAAAAUUUACUUCAAAUAAAGGCAUCUGGUUUCUUUUGCUGUUUGCAAUAAUUCUAGUCUUUAUCGUUCUCAUCUUUAUGAUUGCCAAUGUGAACACAUACAUGACAUCAUUGAAUGCACUUUUAUACUCUUACCAGGUUAUUCCAAUGUUAGUGGCAGGGGAUGAAGAUAUUGAUCAUUUUAUAAGUUUUGUGAUGGCCAUUAUAAAUGUCUCUGGGCCAGGCAGAAUUCAAAAAGGUUUUCGUAUCUGGGCUGGUAUGACAAACAUGCACAAACUGGCCUUGAAUUAUUUAUGCCCAUUAUGUCUUAUUGCCUUCUCUGCUGGGGUAGCGAAAGUGCUGUCAAACAUGAAAAGAUUUAAUGGCAACAGAAAGUUUGCCUCCAGAGCAUUUGUGUUCAUCAGUGUGAUUGCAUAUUCUGACUUUACAAAGUUAACUUUUAAGAUAUUACACUGGGUGAAGAUAGGGGAUCAUUAUGUUGCUUAUUAUGCAGGCAAUAUGCCAUACUUCGGGCGGCAUCAUGCCCCGUAUGCAUGCUUAGCUCUUUUCUUUUUGGUUGUGGCUGUGAUUGGGUUUCCUUUGUUAGUUUUGUUCCCAAGCCUUAUUACAAGCCAUGGAAGAUUUGUCAAGCUCAAAGGGAUUUUUGAUGCUUUUAGUGAUCCGUUUAAAACAGAGCCUCAUUCCUGCCACCGCUUUGCUGCUUUCUACUUCAUAAAUCGCCUGGUUUUGUUGAUAAUCUUCAUAGCUAUUAAAAAUGGCCCUAUCAAGGAUGUAUUCUUCAGCAUCACUUGUGUUUCGAUACUUAUUGUGUUCAUCAUAUACCAGCCAUACAAAGAUGCAGAACGCAACUUCUUUGAUGCACUACAGCUAACAAACAUUGUUUUCAUGUCAAUUAUAUUUACUGCUGUUAGUGUUGCUUAUGAGGAUUAUGUCAGAAAAGAAUUGGUGACAACAAUACAUGCAUUCUGCUAUGUCCCAUUGAUCUGCUUCAUGUACAACCCAAUUUGCUGGGUUUGGAGGAAAACCUGGCAUUACAAGAAUAGCAGAGCACGAGGUAAACUGUUCUUGAGAAAAUGAACCGAUCGAUAGAUUCAUAGUACCUGAGAGAGUGAAUGAACAAGAUUUCAGCGACUACCCAUACAAAGAAUUUGAUAAAUAAGCAAGGCUAACAUCUAUUCUUUGAUUUUGAUCAAUUUGGAUUUAAACACCAAUAAAGAAAAUAUCCCUAUCACCAAACGCUAAUGAUGUUAGCAGUAUCACUGUGAAGAUUUAGCAGCGAAAUCUAUCAAGAUUUUGAACUUUUUUAUGCUAUGCGGUGAGUUUUGUAAGUUUUGCAAUUUUAAAUGGAAUCGACUAAUUUUUAAUGCGUCUUCUAAACUUAUUAAAUGAUUAGCAGGUUGUAAUUACCUUUAAACUAGCUCGUAAGGAAUACUGAUUUUUCUGAUUUCAUACUUAUGUAAUGCAUGGUAAUUUCCUCAUUCAGAGGCAACGCUGUAAUUCUUUGUCAUGUUUAGAGAUAUAAACAAGUUCAUUUUUUGAAAUUAAUUAUUCAAGCUCAUUCAAAUACAACCUUCGAAAUUAAUCAUUUACGUAGCUACAAUCCCUUCCGGAAGCCAAAGGAAUAACGGAAAUGGCAAUCUCUCACCCCCAAAACUGCUGACAAAAUCGUGGUUGAUUCAAUUGUGGGUCUACAAUCCCGGUAGUGCUGAGAUUUGUCACCCCCAACCGCCUGUAACAGAUUCACUCUCCUAUCACAUGUCACGCAUGCGCCGUUAUUAAAUAGUCACAUGACAUUUAGCUAUAUAUAUUGACAAUAGAGAUUUGAUCGAGAGUUGAUUCAUAAAACAUGAUUACGUAA